rnacentral:rRNA from 1 species
AUGACGGUCAAGACCUCGUCCUUUCUUUCUUUCCAUUGCGUUUGAGAGGGUGUAGCGGGGAAUUACUGUGAUCGAUGAAUGC